AGCUCUGCGCAGGGGCUGUAUCAUGGACAAUGAGGUUUAAGGGAGGCAUAAUUAUUGCUAGUUGAAACUGUAAAGGUGAAAAACAAGUUAAUUCUUGCCUUCAAGAAACUUAUCAUCUUUACUUGUACACAAG
rnacentral:snRNA from 1 species